rnacentral:misc_RNA from 1 species
CUCUUCCAGCAGGCUUAUCUUUGAGACAAGCAUAUGACUACUGGCAGGAUCAACCAGGUAGCAUUCCAUUUUGCUGCCGGCACCGUAUGAGCAGGAGGACGAUCACUAUCAUCCCGUCAACACAGGGCACAACAAGCUUCCGUAAGGGACAAUUGAUUCGGGCAAAAAGGGACAAAGUCCCUGACCGAUCAUUGCUUUCUACAUACAAGACUUCGAGCAACACUUGGGCAUCCAAUGCCUACAAGCUAAAUAAGCAAAGCAACGGCGGACAUCCAUAGGUGCUUCAGGGUCUAAGUCGCACAAAACAUUUCAGCACGAGUUAGAGCAAGAAUCGUGGGACUGGAGAAUUCCGUAAAAAUAGGUAUGCUACACAGGGGGCCAAACCAAUCCAAGGUAAAAGAUUUACGCUUGAACAGAAUUGAAUAGGUGUGAACCAACGAUUGUCGCUGCCAGGACAGGGAACCAACCAACCGGAACACACCAAUCACCACUCCCCCACCCCAUGAUG